AAACUUUCAACAACGGAUCUCUUGGUUCUGGCAUCGAUGAAGAACGCAGCGAAAUGCGAUAAGUAAUGCGAAUUGCAGAAUUCCGUGAGUCAUCGAAUCUUUGAACGCACAUUGCGCCCUUUGGUAUCCCGAAGGGCAUGCCUGUCCGAGCGUCAUUA
rnacentral:rRNA from 1 species